GGGAGGCGGGUACUAUACAUGCAAGUCGAGCGAAUGGAUUAAGAGCUUGCUCUUAUGAAGUUAGCGGCGGACGGGUGAGUAACACGUGGGUAACCUGCCCAUAAGACUGGGAUAACUCCGGGAAACCGGGGCUAAUACCGGAUAACAUUUUGAACCGCAUGGUUCGAAAUUGAAAGGCGGCUUCGGCUGUCACUUAUGGAUGGACCCGCGUCGCAUUAGCUAGUUGGUGAGGUAACGGCUCACCAAGGCAACGAUGCGUAGCCGACCUGAGAGGGUGAUCGGCCACACUGGGACUGAGACACGGCCCAGACUCCUACGGGAGGCAGCAGUAGGGAAUCUUCCGCAAUGGACGAAAGUCUGACGGAGCAACGCCGCGUGAGUGAUGAAGGCUUUCGGGUCGUAAAACUCUGUUGUUAGGGAAGAACAAGUGCUAGUUGAAUAAGCUGGCACCUUGACGGUACCUAACCAGAAAGCCACGGCUAACUACGUGCCAGCAGCCGCGGUAAUACGUAGGUGGCAAGCGUUAUCCGGAAUUAUUGGGCGUAAAGCGCGCGCAGGUGGUUUCUUAAGUCUGAUGUGAAAGCCCACGGCUCAACCGUGGAGGGUCAUUGGAAACUGGGAGACUUGAGUGCAGAAGAGGAAAGUGGAAUUCCAUGUGUAGCGGUGAAAUGCGUAGAGAUAUGGAGGAACACCAGUGGCGAAGGCGACUUUCUGGUCUGUAACUGACACUGAGGCGCGAAAGCGUGGGGAGCAAACAGGAUUAGAUACCUGGGUAGUCCAA
rnacentral:rRNA from 1 species